rnacentral:lncRNA from 1 species
AGCACUUUGGGUGUGAGGCCGAGGCAGGGCAGAUGACUAGUCUUUGAGACCAGCCUGGGCAACAUAGCAAGACCUUGUCUCUACUGAAAAACAAACAAACAAAAUAAUGGCUCAAGUUAAGUUUCACUUAUGUUUUCAAUUUAAGCAAGGCUGAAGUCACUUACGAGACCUAACUUGUUUUGUCUGCUUAGGGAUUCUUCAGGCCCGGUCUCCAUUUUAGUUUACUUAAACAGCCCGGGUGCAGUGGCUCACACCUGUAAUCCCAGCACUUUGGGAGGCCAAGGCAGGUGGAUCACCUGAGAUCAGGAGUUGGAGACCAGCCUGGCCAACAUGGUGAAACCCCGUCUCCACUAAAAA